GAUGCACAUGCCGUUCCUGCACACGUCAGCCUCCAUCACGCACUCGUCGAUAUCUGCGAAUACGUUCAAAGUCACUAGUGCGAGGGAACCAUAUAAUGCUUUAUGGUAUAACCAGAAAAACUUAAGACAAGGUUGACAAGUACGCUGCACGCUUCUGUGAACAUUGCAAUGGCCUCUGUGAAACAGAGACGUAGCGCUGACGUCUCAAGCCCUUCGUCGGAGCAAAACAGACUGAAGUCGUAUGAGAGGAAAGUUUAAUAUAGCUAGCCUCAUGACAGAGCAGUGGGGCCCCACCAUCUCCCCAAUAUAGCUAGCCUCAUGACAGAGCCGUGGGGCUCCACCAUCUUCUUAAUAUAGCUAGCCUCAUGACACAGCCGUGGGCUCGACCAACUCCCCAAUGUAGCUAGCCUCAUGACAGAGCCGUGGGCCCCACCAUCUCCCCAAUAUAGCUAGCCUCAUGACAGAGCCGUGGGGCUCCACCAUCUUCUUAAUAUAGCUAGCCUCAUGACACAGCCGUGGGCUCGACCAUCUCCCCAAUGUAGCUAGCCUCAUGACAGAGCCGUGGGCCCCACCAUCUCCCCAAUAUAGCUAGCCUCAUGACAGAGCCGUGGGCUCCACCAUCUUCCCAAUAUAGCUAGCCUCAUGACAGAGCCGUGGGCUCCACCAUCUCAAUAUAGCUAGCCUUAUGACAGAGCCGUGUGGCCCCACCAUCUUCCCAAUAUAGCUAACCUCAUAACAGAGCCGUGGGGCCCCACCAUCUUCCCAAUAUAGCUAGCCUCAUGACAGAGCCGUGGGGCUCCACCAUCUCCCCAAUAUAGCUAGCCUUAUGACAGAGCCGUGGGCUCCACCAUCUCCCCAAUAUAGCUAGCCUCAAAACAGAGCCUUGGGUUCCACCAUCUCCCCAAUAUAGCUAGCCUCAUGACAUAGCCGUGGGCUCCACCAUCUCCCCAAUAUAGCUAGCCUCAUGACAUAGCCGUGGGCUCCACCAUCUCCCCAAUAUAGCUAGCCUCAUGACAGAGCCGUGGGGCUCCACCAUCUCCCCAAUAUAGCUAGCCUCAUGACAGAGCCGUGGGCUCCACCAUCUCCCCAAUAUAGCUAGCCUCAUGACAGAGCCGUGGGGCUCCACCAUCUCCCCAAUAUAGCUAGCCUCAAAACAGAGCCGUGGGCCCCACCAUCUCCCCAAUAUAGCUAGCCUCAUGACAGAGCCGUGGGUCUCCACCAUCUCCCCAAUGUAGCUAGCCUCAUGACAGAGCCGUGGGCCCCACCAUCUCCCCAAUAUAGCUAGCCUCAUGACAGAGCCGUGGGCUCCACCAUCUUCCCAAUAUAGCUAGCCUCAUGACAGAGCCGUGGGGCCCCACCAUCUCCCCAAUAUAGCUAGCCUCAUGACAGAGCCGUGGGGCCCACCAUUUCCCCAAUAUAGCUAGCCUCAUGACAUAGCCGUGGGGCCCCACCAUCUCCCCACUAUAUCUAGCCUCAUGACAUAGCCGUGGGGCUCCACCAUCUCCCCAAUAAAGCUAGCCUCAUGACAGAGCCGUGGGGCCCCACCAUCUCCCCAAUAUAGCUAGCCUCAUGACAUAGCCGUGGGGCUCCACCAUCUCCCCAAUAUAGCUAGCCUUAUGACAGAGCCGUGGGGCCCCACCAUCUCCCCAAUAUAGCUAGCCUCAUUACAGAGCCGUGGGGCCCCACCAUCUCACCAAUAUAGCUAGCCUCAUGACAUAGCCGUGGGGCCCCACCAUCUCCCCGCCAUCAGGAUCACCACCCUACACCUCCUUCCCAUC